AUUGAACGCUGGCGGCAGGCCUAACACAUGCAAGUCGAGCGGAUGAAGGGAACUUGCUCCUGGAUUCAGCGGCGGACGGGUGAGUAAUGCCUAGGAAUCUGCCUGGUAGUGGGGGAUAACGUCCGGAAACGGGCGCCAAUACCGCAUACGUCCUGAGGGAGAAAGUGGGGGAUCUUCGGACCUCACGCUAUCAGAUGAGCCUAGGUCGGAUUAGCUAGUUGGUGGGGUAAAGGCCUACCAAGGCGACGAUCCGUAACUGGUCUGAGAGGAUGAUCAGUCACACUGGAACUGAGACACGGUCCAGACUCCUACGGGAGGCAGCAGUGGGGAAUAUUGGACAAUGGGCGAAAGCCUGAUCCAGCCAUGCCGCGUGUGUGAAGAAGGUCUUCGGAUUGUAAAGCACUUUAAGUUGGGAGGAAGGGCAGUAAGUUAAUACCUUGCUGUUUUGACGUUACCAACAGAAUAAGCACCGGCUAACUUCGUG
rnacentral:rRNA from 1 species